UACAGAGGUGGCAAGCGUUGUUCGGAAUUACUGGGCGUAAAGGGCGCGUAGGCGGUCGGGCAAGUCCUGUGUGAAAUCCCUCGGCUCAACUGAGGAACUGCACGGGAAACUGCUCGACUUGAGUUCGGGAGAGGGAAGCGGAAUUCCGGGUGUAGCGGUGAAAUGCGUAGAUAUCCGGAGGAACACCGGUGGCGAAGGCGGCUUCCUGGACCGACACUGACGCUGAGACGCGAAAGCGUGGGGAGCGAACAGG
rnacentral:rRNA from 1 species